rnacentral:misc_RNA from 1 species
GAUGAAGAACGCAGCGAAAUGCGAUAAGUAAUGUGAAUUGCAGAAUUCAGUGAAUCAUCGAAUCUUUGAACGCACAUUGCGCCCGCCAGUAUUCUGGCGGGCAUGCCUGUUCGAGCGUCAUUUCAACCAUCAAGCCCUGCUUGCGUUGGGGUCCUGCGGCUGCCCGCAGGCCCUGAAAACCAGUGGCGGGCUCGCUAGUCACACCGAGCGCAGUAAUACAUCUCGCUUUGGGCGUGCGGCGGGUUCUUGCCGUUAAACACCCCCUUUUUACCAAGGUUGACCUCGGAUCAGGUAGGGAUACCCGCUGAACUUAAGCAUAUCAAUAAGCGGAGGA